rnacentral:lncRNA from 10 species
CACACACGGUUUUAUAAAAGAGCAUCUGGAUCCCCUGCACUGAAGUCAGGAACUCCACAGGAUACAACCAUGAACAAGACAGCCUGGAGCUGAUAGUCUAGUGGGGAGGACCCAGCCACCGAAUAAGAAAGCCAAUUCAUCAAUCCCAUCAUUGCAAGUGUUGGUAAGUGGCAAGAGGGACAACAGUAUAAUGGUAUGAUCACAAGGACUAGAAUUGGUGGGGGAGAGCUAGUUUAUAUUUCAUGGCCAGCAAAGGCUUCUUUGAGCAGAGGAAUUUUUAUCUGAGUCCAAACAGGGGGGGCACAACCAUGCAAAGAUGGGCAUUCAAAAUAGAGAAAUUAGCAAACACAAAAGCCAAGGGUCUGUCCUAAGAAGGAAAGGGAAGUUGGGGUGAAGAAAAGAGAAUCAAAAGUGUGCAGGCAGGACCUCAUGGUCCAGAAGAAGUCUGAAUUUCAUUCUCAAGAGACUCGGAGGCCUCUAUAGAAUUUGAGCAUGGCUGUGUAGCAUUUUUUUCUUUUUUCUUUUAAUUUUUAAUUUUUUUUAUUUGAAUACAGACAUCAUUUCAAGAGACUGAAUAGCAUUUUCUAAAGGCUACUCUGACCACUGGUUGUGGAAUGACUGUGAAGGGCUGUGGGGAAGGGGGAAUGGGUGCUCCCACACCUUCACACUCAGCCUGUUUGGCAUUUGCUUUCAUUUUGCUCAAGUGCCACAGGGCUUAGAUUAGAGUGAUCUAUUUCUUUGUAAAAGUGGAUGUAUUUGUAAUAUAUGCUCAAAGGAAGGCAACCAAAUCUGCUGUGAGGGGCUAGGACAGGGGUGAAGGAUGACUCUCAGGUUUUGAGGUGGAUCAAUACCGGGGGAGGAUUAGUUGGUAGGUAAAGCGAAGAGUGAGGGAGGGGAGUUGAGACCAGAGUUUUAAAAACUCUAUUUUCGCUACAGAAUUUGAACUUUAUUUGCUAGGCAGUGAAGGAGCUAUCAAGCAAUGUUUAUUUGUUCUCGUAGUUUUUAAUAAACUUUUUCUGAAGUAGGAUUAACAGGAAAGGCUGGUUUUAGGGAAUGCUCCCACCCAGAAGGGCAUGUGUUUACUUUAUUGUUUUGCUGUUGUCAUCUUGAAAUUCUUCAUAAUUUUAUCAUUGACGUUGUGUUUUGUAAGUGAAGUCCAAUGGAACAAUGAAGUACAUGUAAGAGCAGAGGAAACUCACAAAAUGUGCGUGUCCAUGUUUCUUGCCAUUCACUUGCAUAUAGCAUUCAUGACACCCCAUGAGCUUGGAAUUUCAGUAGACCCAGGAUGCAUAGGAAUUCAGGGUGUUGCAAGGUGAGUACUAGGUGAGUGUGUGUAGAAACCAAGAUUCCAAAGACUGUUGGUAGAAUGUGUGCAUUUCAAAACAUGAAAUAAAAUGUACUUAUUAUGUUACUAUUGAUGAACAUUGAGGUAGCUUCCAGUUUGGGACUAUUAUGAAUAGUGCCACUAUGAAUAUUCUGGUACAUAUUGUUUAAUGCACACAUUUAACCAUUUCUGUGGGGUAUUUAUUUACAAAUGAAGUUGCCAGGUCAUAUAGUCAGUUUUAGUUGAUAACAGCCAAAUAGUUGUUCUGUGAAUUAUAUAAAUUCUGCAUUUCUGCCAGGGAUUAUAAACAUUCUACCUGUUCCUUGUUCCUGCCAGCAGCAAUAUUAUUCAGAUUUAAAAUGUUAGCCAUCCUGGUGGGUGUGUAGUGGUAUUUCAUUGAGGUUUUAGUGUGUACCUUGCUAGUCUCUAAAAAAAUUUAGCACCUUUUCAGAUAUUUAUUGGCCACAUAUAGAUCCUCUUUUAUAAAGUGUCUGUUAUCCAUGUUUUUCCACAUGGAUAUCCAAUUUUAUUACACACUUUCCUUUUCUUUUUUUUUGCCAGUUUCACUCUUGUCGCCCAGGCUAGAGUGCAGGCGCACGAUCUCGGCUCACUGGAACCUCUGCCUCCCAGGUUCAAGCAAUCCUCCUGCCUCAGCCUCCCAAGUAGCUGGGAUUACAGGCACCCACCACCACACCCGGCUAAUUUUUUGUAUUUUUAGUAGAGACAGGGUUUCACCAUGUUGGCCAGGCUGGUCUUGAACUCCUGACCUCAGGUGAUCCGCCCGCCUCGGCCUCCCAGAGUGCUGGGAUUACAGGUGUGAGACACCAUGCCAGACCAAUUACUUGCUUUUUCUAACUGUUUUGUAGGAGUUCUUUAUAUAUUCUAUACUACUCUUCUUUUGUCAUAAAAAUGUAUUGCAGACGUCUUCCUCACUGUACCUUGAAUUUUCACUUAAGUGUCUUAAUUUUAAUGCAGCUUGAUGUAUUCAAACUUUUUGAUUAAAAAUUUUUCUGAAUGUCCCUUUGGUUGUUCUUUCACAUUUAUCUUCAUGCCCUACAUAGAAUUGAUUCUUCACAUAUGUCAUGAUAGAGGGAGCACCAUUUCAUUUUGUUCCACAUGGAUAUCCAAUUGGCCUAGCACCAUUUGUUGAAAAAACCAUUCUUCCCCACUGCACAGCAG